GACGAACGCUGGCGGCGUGCUUAAUACAUGCAAGUCGAACGGAAAGGCCCUGCGCUUGCGGGGUGCUCGAGUGGCGAACGGGUGAGUAACACGCGAGUAACCUGUCCUUGACUUUGGGAUAACUCCAGGAAAAAGGGGCUAAUAUCGGAUAGGAGCUCCUGAUGCACGGGGGGGGUUGGAAAGUUUCGGCGGUUGGGGAUGGUCUCGCGGCUUCUCAGCUUGUUGGUGGGGUAGUGGCUUACCAAGGUUUUGACGGGUAGCCGGCCUGGGAGCGUGGCCGGCCACAUUGGGCCUGAGGUACGGCCCAGACGCCUACGGGCGGCAGCAGUGGAGAAUAUUGCACAAUGGGCGGGAGCCUGAUGCGGCAGCGCCGCGUGCGGGAUGACGGCCUUCUGGUUGUAAACCACUUUCGCAUGUGACGAAGCGUGAUUGACGGUAAUGGGUAAGAAAGCACCGGCUAACUACGUG
rnacentral:rRNA from 1 species